rnacentral:rRNA from 1 species
AAUGGCAUCCAGCAGUCAAGAAUAUUAGUCAAUGCUCGAAAGAGUGAACUAGCUAACUGAAAUCAUAAAAUAAUUGAUAACAUAAGGGAAAAUAAUGAUAUUACCUUAUUAUUAGUGUCGUCCAAAACUGGUGCCAGAAGACUCGGUAAGGCCAGAGACACAAACGUUAAUCGUCUUAAUCAGGCGUAAAGGGUUUGUAGGCGGCUUUAAAAUUUACUUAAAAAAUAAAUAAAUAAAUAAAAGAAUAAUUUUUAAAAAUAAAAAGUAAAGAAUAAAAGCUAGAAUCAAAUAGAGGAUAUAUGAAAUAAUGUUUAGAGUAGGUCUGAUAUCCUUAGAUACUAAAUAGAAUAUUAAAGGCGAAAGCUUUUUUCCAUUAAUGAUUGACGCUCAGAAACGAAGGUGAGGAUAGGAAAUAGGAUUAGAUACCCAGAAUACCCCUCUCUGUCAACGAUGAAUGGUAGUUAUUAGUAUAAAUUAUUAAUUACAAUGUUAACACGAUAACCAUUCCGCCUUGUGAGUACAACUGCAAAGUUGAAAACAAAAAAAUUAGUCGGAUUCGGAGCAAACGAAGUGAAGCAUGAUAUUUAAUUCGAUAAUCCGCAG